UGGGGAAUUUUGCACAAUGGGGGAAACCCUGAUGCAGCGACGCCGCGUGAUUUAGAAGGCCUUCGGGUUGUAAAAAUCUUUUUUACGGGAUGAAAAUGACAGUACCGUAAGAAUAAGGUCCGGCUAAAUACGUGCCAGCAGCCGCGGUAAUACGUAGGUCCCGAGCGUUGUCCGGAUUUAUUGGGCGUAAAGCGAGCGCAGGCGGUUAGAUAAGUCUGAAGUUAAAGGCAGUGGCUCAACCAUUGUAGGCUUUGGAAACUGUUUAACUUGAGUGCAGAAGGGGAGAGUGGAAUUCCAUGUGUAGCGGUGAAAUGCGUAGAUAUAUGGAGGAACACCGGUGGCGAAAGCGGCUCUCUGGUCUGUAACUGACGCUGAGGCUCGAAAGCGUGGGGAGCGAACAGG
rnacentral:rRNA from 1 species